rnacentral:rRNA from 1 species
UACGAAGGGGGCUAGCGUUGCUCGGAAUUACUGGGCGUAAAGAGCUCGUAGGCGGCCUGUUGCGUCCGCUGUGAAAGCCCGGGGCUUAACCCCGGGUCGGCAGUGGAUACGGGCAGGCUAGAGGUAGGUAGGGGAGAAUGGAAUUCCCGGUGUAGCGGUGAAAUGCGCAGAUAUCGGGAGGAACACCGGUGGCGAAGGCGGCGAGCUGGCCUGUUACUGACGCUGAGGCGCGACAGCGUGGGGAGCAAACAGG